AUUGAACGCUGGCGGCAUGCUUUACACAUGCAAGUCGAACGGUAACAGGCCUUCGGGUGCUGACGAGUGGCGCACGGGUGAGUAAUGCAUCGGAACGUGCCCAGAGGUGGGGGAUAACGCAGCGAAAGCUGUGCUAAUACCGCAUGUGAUCUGAGGAUGAAAGCGGGGGACCCAGCAGCAAUGUUUGGCCUCGCGCCUCUGGAGCGGCCGAUGUCAGAUUAGGUAGUUGGUGGGGUAAAGGCCUACCAAGCCGACGAUCUGUAGCUGGUCUGAGAGGACGACCAGCCACACUGGGACUGAGACACGGCCCAGACUCCUACGGGAGGCAGCAGUGGGGAAUGUUGGACAAUGGGCGCAAGCCUGAUCCAGCAAUGACGCGUGCGGGAAGAAGGCCUUCGGGUUGUAAACCGCUUUUGUACGGAACGAAAAGGCUCUGGCUAAUACCUGGGGCUGAUGACGGUACCGUAAGAAUAAGCACCGGCUAACUACGUG
rnacentral:rRNA from 1 species